rnacentral:sRNA from 1 species
AGUGUCAGUUGCUCGGCGGCGGCGGCCGUGGUCACCAGGAAGGGGACGGGACGGACGGUGAUGGUGGUCGCCGCGGCGGCGUGUGCGCCCCUCAGGAAAAGAAUACUUGAGAUCCAUUUGUAAGGAAAGAAAAGGAAGCAACAACAUAAUGCCCAGAGUUGGAGCCAAUUAAACCAGACAAGUCUCACUCUGUCGCCCAGGCUGGAGUGCGGUGGCGUGAUCUUGGCUCACUGCAACCUCUGCCUUCCAGGUUCGAGUAAUUCUCCUGCCUCAGCCUCCCAAGCAGCUGGGUCUACAGUAAACAUUGCUAUCUUCAGAAAUUAAGGAAUGAGAGGCAAGGAAGAAAGGACAUUCAUCUUGGAAAGACCCAAAGCACCUUGAAAUUUGGAAGGAAUGUUUUGCUAGCUGCUAAAACCACCUUUGUCACCAGAAUGAAUGAAGUGCUUCAGAUUUAAACAAUUGAUCAUUCUUAGAAGAGCUGCUGUAACACAUAGGGGAAGUGAAAACUAACAGAUGAAAG